rnacentral:rRNA from 1 species
AUAUUGGACAAUGGGGGCAACUCUGACGCAGCGACGCCGCGUGAGCGAUGAAGGUCUUCGGAUCGGAAAGCUCUGUCCUUGGGGAAGAAGGUCUUCGGACUUGACGGUACCUAAGGAGGAAGCACCGGCUAACUACGUGCGAGAAGCCGCGGUAAUACGUAGGGGGCAAGCGUUGUCCGGAAUUAUUCGGCGUAAAGGGUGCGUACGCGGCAUGUUAAGUCAGAUGUGAAAGCCCACGGCUUAACCGUGGGACUGCAUUUGAAACUGGAGGGCUUGAGUAUCGGAGAGGGUAGUGGAAUUCCCAGUGUAGCGGUGGAAUGCGUAGAUAUUGGGAGGAACACCAGUGGCGAAGGCGACUACCUGGACGAAAACUGACGAUGAGGCACGAAAGCUAGGGGAGCAAAC